rnacentral:rRNA from 1 species
AAUAGAUACCCCGGUACGUCCACGCCGUAAACGAUCGAGUGCUAAGUGUUAGAGGGUUUCCGCCCUUUAGUGGCUGCAGCAAACGCAUUAAGCACUCCGCCUGGGGGAGUACGGUCGCAAGACUGAAACUCAAAAGGAAUUGACGGGGGGCCCGCACAAGCGGUGGAGCAUGUGGUUUAAUUCGAAGCAACGCGAAGAACCUUACCAGGUCUUGACAUCCCGUGACAACUCUAGAGAUAGGGCAUUCCCCUUCGGGGGGACACGGUGACAGGUGGUGCAUGGUUGUCGUCAGCUCGUGUCGUGAGAUGUUGGGUUAAGUCCCGCAACGAGCGCAACCCUUGAUCUUAGUUGCCAGCAUUCAGUUGGGGCACUCUAAGGUGACUGCCGGUGACAAACCGGAGGAAGGUGGGGAUGACGUCAAAUCAUCAUGCCCCUUAUGACCUGGGCUACACACGUGCUACAAUGGAUGGUACAAAGGGCAGCGAACCGCGAGGUUAAGCCAACUCCCAUAAAACCAUUCUCAGUUCGGAUUGCAGGCUGCAACC